ACAUUACAUUACAUUACAGCUCUACAAUGCACCAGACGGACCCAUCUGGAUUCUUUCGGGGCUCUUAGCCCUAGAAAUAGCAUCAUUUCUUCAAACUGGUGAGUCCUCCUGUCUAAAAUCAGGAUGCAGAGAGUUGAUGCACGGCAUGGCACAGGAUGCUGGGCAAGGCUGGCAGGCCCGGGAGAGCCUGUGGCCAGCCUGGGUCCAGGAAGUGGGCAGCUGCCACAGAGGGGCCUCCGAGGCUAGCUGCCUCCUAACUUCCUCACGGCACACCAUUCUGCCGUCCUGAGUCUUCUCAAGGUUGGAAGGUGCCCAGAUCCAGGGAGAUGGUGCUGGCUCUUUGGUGGCUGUGGAGUGUCCAGACAGAUGAGCUGGAAUCCUUCAGUUUCUCUGCCUCUCCUGUCAAGUUGGGGUAGCACUGCUUGGACUCUUGCCCCGGCUGCAUUGACCAAGCCUUGAUGUUGCCUUGACCAAGCCUUGAUGUUGCCUUCUUUGCCAAACCACUGGCCACGAUGUUGCUGGCACAGCAGCCCAAAGGCAGCUGCUUGUCCAUCUCAGCCUGACCCAGCCUUCAUGCGGGCUCCAUCUCAGCCAUUGUAAAGCAAGCUCCUAGUUCUAGUUCUCCCCCACAAAUUUUAUUGCUAAAUAAACAAUUAAGCUACCCCUUUAAA
ensembl:lncRNA novel transcript